rnacentral:rRNA from 1 species
AUAAGCGGAGGAAAAGAAACCAACAGGGAUUGCCUCAGUAACGGCGAGUGAAGCGGCAACAGCUCAAAUUUGAAAUCUGGCCCCCUUGCGGGGUCCGAGUUGUAAUUUGAAGAGGAUGCUUCUGGCAAGGUGCCUUCCGAGUUCCCUGGAACGGGACGCCGCAGAGGGUGAGAGCCCCGUACGGUUGGACGCCGAGCCUCUGUGAAGCUCCUUCGACGAGUCGAGUAGUUUGGGAAUGCUGCUCAAAAUGGGAGGUAAACCCCUUCUAAAGCUAAAUACUGGCCAGAGACCGAUAGCGCACAAGUAGAGUGAUCGAAAGAUGAAAAGCACUUUGAAAAGAGAGUUAAAAAGCACGUGAAAUUGUUGAAAGGGAAGCGCUUGCGACCAGACUCGCGCCCGUCGGAUCAGCCGUCGCUCGCGGCGGUGCACUCCGGCGGGCUCGGGCCAGCAUCAGUUCGUUGGGGGGGAGAAAGGCGGCGGGAAUGUGGCUCCACGGAGUGUUAUAGCCCGUCGUGUAAUACCCCCUGGCGGACUGAGGACCGCGCGUAUGCAAGGAUGCUGGCGUAAUGGUCGUCAGCGACCCGUCUUGAAACACGGACCAAGGAGUCGUCCUAAUAUGCGAGUGUACGGGUGUCAAACCCCUGCGCGUAAUGAAAGUGAACGGAGGUGAGAGCUUCGGCGCAUCAUCGACCGAUCCUGAUGUUCUCGGAUGGAUUUGAGUAAGAGCAUAUUGGGCCGGACCCGAAAGAAGGUGAACUAUGCCUGUGUAGGGUAAAGCCAGAGGAAACUCUGGUGGAGGCUCGCAGCGGUUCUGACGUGCAAAUCGAUCGUCAAACAUGGGCAUGGGGGCGAAAGACUAAUCGAACCUUCUAGUAGCUGGUUUCCGCCGA